rnacentral:tRNA from 1 species
GCCAUCGUGGUGUAACGCUAGUACACUCGGCAUGUAAUCCGAGAGGUCCAGGUUCGAGUCCCGGCGAGGGCA